ACUCAAAGGAAUUGACGGGGACCCGCACAAGCAGCGGAGCGUGUGGUUUAAUUCGACGCAACGCGCAGAACCUUACCCAGAUUUGACAUGGCACUGCUAACCCCUGAAAGGGGGCUCCUUCGAGGGUGUGCCACCGGUGCUGCAUGGCUGUCGUCAGCUCGUGUCGUGAGAUGUUGGGUUAAGUCCCGCAACGAGCGCAACCCCCGUCGCCAGUUAUACGUGUCUGGCGAGACUGCCCUUCGGGGAGGAAGGUGGGGAUGACGUCAAGUCCGCAUGGCCCGUACGUCUGGGGCUACACACACGCUACAAUGGCGCCGAUAAUGCGUCGCGAGUGGGCAACCACGAGCAAAUCGACAACCGGCGCCCCAGUGCAGAUCGGGGGCUGAAACUCGCCCCCGUGAAGGCGGAGUUGCUAGUAACCGCGUAUCAGCCAUGGCGCGGUGAAUGCGUACCCGGGUCUUGCACACACCGCCCGU
rnacentral:rRNA from 1 species